rnacentral:lncRNA from 1 species
CCAUUGAAAUAUUAUUUCUCCUACUAAUAACUCCAUCCCUCUUCGCCAUUCAUCUCGCCAUGUUGGAGCACCAAACCGAUAUGGUUAUUCACUUGAAAGAUAUGAAAAAUCAUAUGCCUUACAUACUACAUUGAAUUCUAUUUCUGUACCUAAUUCAUAUGCUCAAGCAGCUAAUCAAGAUAGCUGGAAACAAGCCAUGGAUGAGGAGCUCCAUGCACUUGAAGAAAAUCAGACAUGGGAGUUGGUACC